UACGUAGGUGGCAAGCGUUGUCCGGAUUUACUGGGCGUAAAGAGCGCGCAGGCGGUCGGAUCAGUCGAAUGUGAAAGCCCCCGGCUCAACUGGGGAGGGUCAUUCGAUACUGUCCGACUCGAAGGCAGGAGAGGGAAGCGGAAUUCCCGGUGUAGUGGUGAAAUGCGUAGAUAUCGGGAGGAACACCAGUGGCGAAGGCGGCUUCUUGGC
rnacentral:rRNA from 1 species